rnacentral:rRNA from 1 species
UACGUAGGGGGCUAGCGUUGUCCGGAAUCAUUGGGCGUAAAGCGCGUGUAGGCGGCCCGAUAAGUCCGCUGUGAAAGUCCAGGCUCAACCCUGGGAUGCCGGUGGAUACUGUCGGGCUCGAGUCCGGAAGAGGCGAGUGGAAUUCCUGGUGUAGCGGUGAAAUGCGCAGAUAUCAGGAGGAACACCAAUGGCGAAGGCAGCUCGCUGGGACGGUACUGACGCUGAGACGCGAAAGCGUGGGGAGCGAACAGG